AUAAGGCCUAAAAGGCAAAGGAAAGGAUAAAGAUUUGGAGGCAGUGGUCAUUGCAAUGGGUAACUCUGUUCAUGUUUUCUUCCCAAAUAGAUUUAUGCUCAUAAAAAAGCAGCUGAGGAACAUAAAGAAAGAAACUCAAGGGGCUUCUUCCGGUCUGUGCUGAGUAACAGAUGGGCAACACAGAGUAACACUCAGGAGGGCUUUUUCAGGACAUGGCGGCCACUGUGGCUCAGGGACAUGUAUAGACCUCUCAAUGCCACACACAUGAAAAACAUGGCACAGAAGUUACACAACAAAGAUUCUUCCGAUGAGGUUGAAAUUUUCAAAAAGAAACCAGGGGAGCACAGCGAAGCCGCAACAGGGAAGGCUCGGGACGCAGAUUCCUCCGCUGACGAGCUGCACUUCGAGAGCGAGACCACACAUGAGACCACCACUAACUGACCCCGUCCGGCCGCGGGUCACCUACAAAGAGAAUAUUUUCUUAUUUUGGCA